GACGUAGGAGGCGAGCGUUAUCCGGAUUCACUGGGCGUAAAGCGCAUGUAGGCGGUUGCACAAGUCCGUUGUUAAAGCCCCUGGCUCAACUGGGGGAGGUCAAUGGAGACUGUGCGACUUGAGGGCAAUAGAGGCACGUGGAACUCCCGGUGUAGCGGUGGAAUGCGUAGAGAUCGGGAAGAACACCAGUGGCGAAGGCGACGUGCUGGGUUGCACCUGACGCUGAGAUGCGAAAGUGUGGGGAGCAAACAGG
rnacentral:rRNA from 1 species